UCACGAUUCCAUGUUCUCUUUACUGUCUGUAACAUAGACAAUGAUAAUAUAAUAAGUUAAGUAAUAACAGAAACACAAAAUUUUUACAACUGAUCGGUGGAGAUGGUAUGUUCCGCUCGAUUACUCGAUGUUUCCUAUUCCCGAACGCCGUCGUUUUGUUCAUAUGUUUCGCCUGCACACCAUAACUCCAGGUAUUUCUGUACAAACCCUAAAUCUACCGUCCGAUGGCGUUCGAUGUCAUCGUUCGAUCCAUAUGCGUUCAAUUAAUCGCAUCUUUAUAAAUCUAGGUAUUAUUAGAAGAAUUUCUUAAUCAAGUUUUAGUAAAACUUCAUUUACAAACUAAAAUUGUUAAGAGAUCUUAAUAUCUGGUUGUUCUUAAUUGUUUCUAGACUUUGGCUGCACUUAAAGAGGAGGGGAUUGUUUGAAAAGGUCAAUCAUUUGCCUAUACAUGUCUUACCUGUUGCUAACACUGGUCAAAGUCAAAGUUAAAGUCACCAUGGUCAGAGUUCAUACUCAUCUGAUGACUUCCCAAAAACCGUGGUGAUGACGCUUAAUCAAGGUUCAACGGUCAAGAGCAUGGAUUUUCAUCCUUUGGAACAAGCAUCGGUGACAUCAUGAUAUGGGAACUCGCUAGCAGAGAUUUCUUUCAGGUGAAAUUUCUUUAUCCAAAUCUUUAUUACAUUUUUUUUUGAGAGUUGAAGCUAGGGCUGAGCAACAAGCCAAACUCGGAGUAGACUGAACCCGAAGAUACACAACAACAGCAUAUAGACCUCAUCGGAACAUGAUGGUUCGUGACUGAUAUAGUCCUAGAUCAGAACUUGGUCUGCGGUGGACCUGAACCCACUCACAUUAAGAACAUUAAUGUAAACAAAAGUAUUUCUUUUUGAACUAACCUCUUCAUUUAACCUGUAUAAUUUUUAUCACAAACCCACUUAAAAAAUGAGGUUUCUGCAUUCUGCUAUUUAAAUGACUUGUUUACGACUGUCGCAAAAUUUUUUGAAUUCGCCAUUGUUCUGUGCUUUAGUCUAAAAUCCAAAAGAACCUCCUUUUGUUUACGAUUUUCACAAAAUAUUUUGAAUUCGCCAUUGUUCUGUUCUUUAGUCGGAAGUCCAAAAGAACCUCCUUUUGUUUACGAUUUUCACAAAAUAUUUUGAAUUCGCCAUUGUUCUAUUCCGUCAUCAAUCAUCAUCGAUGUCACGAUU